AUGUCAUCAGACACGAGCACCAUAUUUGGUGCUCCAAGUAUGACGUCAUACGGGGGAAUUGUCAACGAAAUGUACGAUGGAGGUGGAGGUGACGCUGAGAUUCCAGGCGAAAAUGGGAAAAGCCCGAAGAAGGGAGCCGUGCCGUUGAUUGACGAAGAAUCCCAGUCAACGCCACGUGGCAGCACAUCUGGAGAUGGAGGUGGCGGAUCGCCGAGCAUGGAGUUCAGCUCAAGCAGGCCUGGCGGCUUAUCCACAAUAUCUGGAGUAUUUGCUCCGGUGGCGCUGAGCAUGUUCAGUAUAUUGCUCUUUUUAAGAAUGGGUAAAGCUUUAGAUUUUUUAAUUUCAGAAUUUUCUUCUAAAUGUGAAUUUUGAGGAUUUGUGGUGGGUCAACUGGGAUUCCUAAUGACAAUACUACAACUAGCGAUGGCUUAUGCGAUAGUUAUGCUCACCGUGCUCUCACUUUGUGCAAUUUCCUCAAAUGGAGCUGUUGAAGGUGGUGGUGUAUAUUACAUGAUUUCCCGAUCCUUGGGUCCUGAGUUUGGUGGAGCCAUCGGAGUUUUAUUUUUUGUUGCAAAUGUAUUUUCAUGUGCUCUGUACAUAUCUGGAUUUACCGAAGCUCUAAUGAAUAAUAUUGGAAAUGGACAAUUCCCCGACUCGCCAGCCUGGCGGUUUGUCUACUGCGUCCUUGUCUCCCUGGUCCUCCUUGUCCUAUCCCUGUUAGGCUCCGCCCUCUUCGCCAAGACCGCCCUGAUCACAUUUGUCCUGAUCUCAGUUUGCUACGGAACAUGGAUUGUUUCUGUGAUUUUUAAUGGAAGAAUGGAGGUUUUGAUUCCGAAGGUGAACACUCCGGCGUAUAGAGUCCUGGUCAACGCCAGUGAUCCGUCCCAGGGAACUGUGGAGGAUUUCAAUCAGACUCUUACCGCGAAUUAUACUGGAUGGAGCUUCCACACCCUCGGAGAAAACAUGUUCCCCGAGUACACCAUGGACUAUACCACUGAAAAACCCACUGAUUUCGCUUUAAUGUUUGCUAUCAUCUUCUCUGGAGUUACUGGUCUAAUGGCCGGAGCCAAUAUGUCAGGAGAACUUGCCCGCCCAUCAGUUUCGAUUCCACGUGGAACGGUUCAAGCGGUUUUUAUGACGCUUUUUGUCUAUGUGAUGACAGCUUUUCUGAUGGCUACUACGUCAAGCCGGUACUUGCUCCAGAAUGAUUAUACCGUCAUGAUGGACACGAAUUUCCACAGAGUUUUUAUUCUGAUCGGGAUUUUCUCUACGACGCUCUUUUCGUCGAUGAGCAACUUGAUUGGCUCCUCCCGAGUUCUAAACCGUCUCUCCCACGACAAGCUCUUCGGCUGCUUGCUCCGUCCCGCGAAAAUCGAGAUCGGAGACCGUAACCCGGUUGUCUCCGUGGUCAUCACAUGGAUGUGUGUGGUUUUGGUGUUCUUAGUCGGGGCUAUGAAUAAAAUCGCAAAGCUGACCUCGAUCUUCUUCUUGUUGAGUUAUAUGGGUGUAAAUGUGGCGACGCUGGCGCUGGAAUUGACGAGUGCACCGAAUUUUAGACCCACCUUCAAGUACUUCUCCUGGCAAACGUGUGCUCUUGGAGUUGUAGCCACGGCAACUAUGAUGCUUGUCGUUGAUGCUUCAAUGAGUGCUCUCGGAGUUGUAGUGCUGAUGUCAUUGAUUAUGGUGCUUCAUUACCAGGCGCCAAGUGUCUCCUCCGGAUCCAUUUCUCAGGCGCUGAUCUACCAUCAAGUUCGGAAAUAUUUGUUGCUGCUGGAUGUUAGGAAAGAGCACGUCAAAUACUGGCGCCCACAAAUCCUGCUCCUAGUCUCCCGGCCAGCAUCCGCCUGCUCCCUACUCGACUUUGUAAAUGACCUCAAAAAAUCUGGCCUCUACCUAGUCGGGCACGUCAGAAAAGGAGAAAUGGAUUCUUCUCAAGUAGUAGAUCCGCUGCAGCAAGUCUUCCCGUACUGGUUAUCCUUGAUAGAUUACUUGAAGCUCAAGGCGUUUGUAGAGCUCACAAUGUCGAAUAAUAUCCGACAUGGAAUUCAGCAGCUUAUGCGGCUCUCCGGUCUCGGAGCGAUGAAGCCGAAUACUGUAGUUAUUGGAUUCCACGAGCUGGCACCGAGCCAAGUUACCCUGCAAGAAUCACAGCUUCUGAAAGAUCUGAGAUUCUCGAAAAUCGACCGGGCAGCUGUUGUGGAGUACUUCACCGCUGGAGACUAUAUGCCAAAGGAGUUGGAUGGAAAUUUGGAGAGAUUGACGCCGGUGGACUAUGUGAAUGUUCUUAAGGAUGUUCUUCAUAUGACUAAGAACCUAUGUGUAGCCCGACACUUUUCGAAAUUAGAUAAGGAAGCGUUGGCGAGGGGGUGGAAUGGUCAGAAGCGAUAUAUUGAUGUUUGGCCUGUAGACUUGCAGAAGCCACAGGAAACUGGACUUGGCUGGGAUAAUAGCUCCCUCUUCCUGCUCCAACUCUCAUGCAUCUUGUCAAUGUCGUCCCGCUGGAGGUCCUACACAAAACUCCGAGUCUUCAUCUGCGUCAACUCCCUUCAAGACAUGCAUCGGCGGGAGAGACAGCUCAAGAAUAUGCUUCAAACUUUGAGAAUUGAAGGAGAAUCUUCUGUGGUUCCGUGGGAUCAUGUUGUGUGUCAUUAUCAGCCACCGAAUGCAACAGCAAGUGCGAAUACUGCCACACCGUCAGUAGACCUUCCACCAGCCUACGUCAGUGCAUUCAAUGAUAUGGUGAAGAGAUACUCCGAAGAUGCGGCGAUUACUCUGCUGAACCUUCCGGUACCUCCAGAUAAUGCAGAUAUAGAUGCUGAUAGGUACCUGGAAAUGGUGCGCAACCUGACUGACGCCCUUCCACCAACUCUUCUAGUCCACGGAGUCUCUUCGGUUAUUUCUACGGCCUUAUAA
rnacentral:misc_RNA from 1 species